GCCUCAAUAGUAUAAUGGCUAGUACACAGCCCUGUCGCGGCUGGGAUCCGGGUUCGAUCCCCGGUUGGGGCG
rnacentral:tRNA from 1 species